UACAGAGGUGCCAAGCGUUAGGCGGAAUCACUGGGCUUAAAGCGCGUGUAGGUGGACGGGUAAGUAUCUUGUGAAAUCCCACGGCUCAACCGUGGAACUGCUGGAUAUACUGCUUGUCUUGAGGCACUUAGGGGCAGCUGGAACAAAUGGUGGAGCGGUGAAAUGCGUGGAUAUCAGUUGGAACGCCAAAGGCGAAAGCAGGCUGCUGGGAGUGAUCUGACACUGAGACGCGAAAGCCAGGGGAGCGAACGGG
rnacentral:rRNA from 1 species